rnacentral:rRNA from 1 species
UGAGGAAUUUUGCGCAAUGGGGGCAACCCUGANGCAGCAACGCCGCGUGAGUGAAGAAGGCCUUUGGGUCGUAAAGCUCUGUCAACUGGGAAGAAAUUAGUUUUAUUUAAUAGAUAAGGCUAUUGACGGUACCAGUGGAGGAAGCGCCGGCUAACUCCGUGCCAGCAGCCGCGGUAACACGGGGGGCGCAAGCGUUAUUCGGAAUUAUUGGGCGUAAAGGGCGCGCAGGCGGUCUUGUCCGUCAGGUGUGAAAGCCCGGGGCUCAACCCCGGAAGUGCACUUGAAACAGCAAGACUUGAAUACGGGAGAGGAGAGAGGAAUUCCUGGUGUAGAGGUGAAAUUCGUAGAUAUCAGGAGGAACACCGAUGGCGAAGGCAUCUCUCUGGACCGAUAUUGACGCUGAGGCGCGAAGGCGUGGGUAGCGAACGGGAUUAGAUACCCCGGUAGUCCACGCAGUAAACGUUGUACACUCGGUGUGGCGGAUAUUAAAAUCUGCUGUGCCUNAGCUAACGCAUUAANUGUACCGCCUGGGAAGUACGGUCACAAGACUA